rfam:Ornithorhynchus anatinus H/ACA-box snoRNA Oa1886 gene, complete sequence.
UGCCUUUUGUGUUGCCCGUUCACUUUUGGCUGCUAGUGAAUGUGGUGUCAAAAAAGGCGCAAAUCAAAUCCGUGGCAGCCCUAUUUUCACUGGAUUCUAUUCCUGUGGUGUACUUGCUGCACAGGAACAUGG